GCCAUUAGCUUAUAUCCAAACUUUUCAAAAAAUAAUUUAGGAAAUAAUAUCUCAUAAUUCUAAAACAUCAGUAAGGAGUAGGUGUAAUAACUAUUUUUUAUCCUGGUUUUGUAGGUGAGAAAACUCUGGCACAUAACUGUUUAAGAAUCCUUUCCAAAGUCAUAUGGAGAAUUUAAGGCAGCACCAGGACCAUUGUUCUGGAGGCUCAGAUCUCAAUUCAGCAGAUGUGUUUUCCUUUGGAAGGGGAGAAAACAACCAGACACAUCUGUAAAUCUGGUUAACUUUCUUUAGAGGAAUAAAGGAAAACCACCUUGGCAGCUCACGUCUCCACCAGUCUAGAAAGUUAUUGCUGUGUGUUCCUUUCUGCAGUGUACUGCUAACCUUGCCAGGUUAUUACUGUUCAAGUCUCUAGAAAUGGCUCCACACCCAGCAGAAAGCCCAAUUUGGGGCUUGAACUCACAACCCUGAGAUCCCAAGAUCAAGACCUAGCUGAGAUCAAGAGUUGGACAUUCAACUGACUGAGCCACCCAGGCACCCCAAGAGAAGUUAUUUCUUGUUUGCAGGAAUGAUCUCUGUCAUCUUCUAGGCCAUGACUAAGGAAGAAGGGUAUGGGGAGAUUGGAUGUGGAUCAGUGUCAACUCUGGUUUACAGGUGACAGGCAAAGUGAGGUCCUCAAUAAUGCUAGCACUCCCACAGAAUGCACUUCUUACUGGUUUUGUAAAGGGAAUGACCUCUGGGCUCUUCUGGAUGACAAGCCAUCUGGCAUGUCUUCAGGCCAUGUCUUUGUGUGAUAUACCCAUGUGAACAUUUCUACCUCUCUGAGCCUUUUGACCCCUUCUUGGUACUAUACAAGGCUUUGGGGGCAUCUCCACAUCAUUUGCUAAAUGCUAUCAUUUUGUCCAAGUUCCAAGGAGCCAGUUCAUUCAUAGACAAACCAGCCUCAGAUGCCUUUGCCAGGGCCUUAAGCCCUGAUCGGAGGAGAGGGCUUCCAUAUCAAUGGAGUCUCCAUUAUCCACUCUUAUGUUUACCCCUCCUGGUCUUACACCCUAAAAAUCCACUCCUACAAGUGUUUCUGUCUUGUUUCCGGUACAUAUUAGCCAGUUCUUGCUGGGUUAUGCUUAUGGGCCAUACACAGCCCUCGAAUUUUAAUGGCUUAGACAACAAAGUCUACUUCUUGCUCGCUCAGAGUCACAGUGGAUCUGGGAGCCCUCCUGGGGUGGUAGUGAAUACACAUACUAGGUGGGGUCAAUCUCUAGGCUCUGUCAUCCCCAAACAAAUCGUCUAAUCAAUGUGGCAGGAGAGUUUACACAGGGAAUUCUCACUGCCCUUUCUGUGAAUCACCUUGCAAAUGACAUAUGCCACCUCUGAUCAUAAUCCACUGGUCGGUGUCUCAGUCAUUUAGCCAUGCCUAAUGUGAGGGGCAGGAAAACUUAGGGGGAUAUAUGUGAUAUUUGGAGAACACUACUGUUUCUGCCACAAAUAAAAGCAGAAGGCUGAAAAGGACCCAUUCUAGAUAAUACUGUUAAGAAUGAAGCCACAUGACGGAUUCAACUAAGCAAACAAAAAGGAGCCAACAUUCAAAAGGUGAAUCUAAAUGAAAACUAACUUUAUUAGGAAGCAAAGGAUUAAAAACAGAUGAUGUUACAAGAGAAAUCUUCUAAACUUUUUUUUUAAAUUUUUAUUAUGAUAGUCACAGAGAGAGAGAGAGAGAGAGAGAGGCAGAGACACAGGAGGAGGGAGAAGCAGGCUCCAUGCACCAGGAGCCCGACGUGGGAUUCGAUCCCGGGUCUCCAGGAUUGCGCCCUAGGCCAAAGGCAGGCACCAAACCGCUGCGCCACCCAGGGAUCCCCGAGAAAUCUUCUAGAAUAAAAUACUUUGCUUGGUCAGUGAUGGAACUUAAUGAGUCAGUCUACCUAAAUGCAGGCCCAGAAGGUUUUACUCUCUGACAGGAUCCUUGGACUUUUUACCUACUUAGCAGACCAUUCCCCUUUCAGUCAUAGCAUAAGUAAAGGGAGACAACUUCAGUUACAUUUAUUUUUGAAUCACCCAUAAAUAAUUUCAUCAAUUGCAGUAAGAAACAUCUCUGCGUAGGUCUACCAGGAGAUCAAAACCUCAUUUAUGACCUGAACCUGUUCAAUCAGAUGGGUUGUUAUGAUGUCUCAGGUUCCGGAAUUAGCUGAGGGUCAGUGUUCAAUCAUCUUUUAAGGACAUGAGAAUUUUCUUUCUUUCUUUUUUUCUUUUUCAGAGCAUCAUUAUGUUGGAAAAUAGACAAAGGGAAGGGCUGGGAACCGUAUCAAUUUUGUUUUUUGUGGCCUCUGAGUAUCCAUCAACUAUCUAAUUGGAUAACUAGAAUUGCUUCCUUUUGAUUGAAUUAACAUUUUGAAUACAGAAUCUCUACUGUGUGUAGCCACAGUGAUACCUGCAUGUGCCUCUGACAUGAUUUCAAACACUUUGCAUACAUAAUUUAAUCUUCAACAUUAUCCAUUCUGACAACAAAAUUUUGUUAUUGAAUAAGGAAGUGGCGUGUUGGAAGACUCACCUCUGGAACCAGCUGGAGGCCAUUAUUUCUUAGGAUGAGAUACUUCCCCAAAGGGUGUAGUGUGUGCUCUGAACCAGCUACCAGGGUUUGGUAGUCUUUGUCAGGUACUUUAUCCAGAAUAUAUUGGAUCUGGGAACCCUUCAAGCAAGGCUGACUGAUUUGGCUGGUAAAGAAAUAAUGUGCCCUUUUAAGAUUCAGACAGCUUAUUACUUACAUAAAUGGCAAAAGCAGGAAGAGCAAAGGUGCCAUCUCCCUGGGGCAGAAGGCCUCAUACCUCAUUGGAACUUGCAAUAUGAGGAGACAGUGUGUCAUGAUACCUCUGGAAGAUAAAGUGGUGAGUGGGACAUGGCCUGUCAUAGUGCUUCACAAGCGUCCCAUGCUCUCAUGUUCUGGAAAGAUCAUGGGGCAGGCUGCCAAGACUUAGAUCGAAUCAACUGUAGUUAAGUCUUGCCUAUGCUGUCUAUGUGGAGACACAAAAGGUUACCAGGGUGCCAUGGCUGAGCCACUCGCCAACGGAACCCAGAAUUGUCAGAGAUCUUAGUGCCCAAGUUGGGAAUGCUUCUAUCAGCUGAGCCAAUUAUGAUUCUGUGAAUUGAAAACUGGCUAUGCUCUGCAUCCUGUACAAGUUUCCUGAUGCCACUGGGUAUGAGGCCAAAAAGGAUGCUAUCCAGGAUUCAGUAAGGUGAUCAGUGACUAGAAUAUAUAAAUAUUAUUAUUAUAAAUAAUAAUAAUAAUAGAAUAUAUAAAUAGCUUUCUAUAAGAGUCAAUAAUUGGUAAUAAAAUAUAUUGGGGGGAAAGUUCAUGUUCACAAUAGCAAGAAAAAAAUGUCAACUGCCUGAGCAUUAAAAAAAAAAA